AUUUUUAUCCGGCUGAAACAAACCAAAUCAGAAACCAAAAAAAUAAUAAAUUAAUAAAAGUCCAUUAAGAAAAAGGGUCUGUUUACAAAUAUACAAGCCCAACACCCAAAUACUGACCCUAGCUUGAUUACCUAAACUACCUAGAAGCCCAAAUUACCCAGACCCAAAUACUAACCGAAGAGCCCAAAGCCCAAAAGCCCAAAAGCUAAAAAAACUAAACAGAAAACCCUAAUUCCUAAACUCCAUCAGUGCCCCUGCCUCUGUCACAUCGGUAGACCCGCCUUCAGCUAUUACCCACACCCUUCAUUGCCA
rnacentral:lncRNA from 1 species